UUUUUUUUUUCCUUUCUCCUAGAAGAGUGCAGGCACACAUUACGCGAAACCCACAGCCUUUCGCGAUACACAGCUCGAAACGCUCUAGUUUAUUUAUAUAGCCCCUCCACCCUCAGCUCUUCCCACCCGUCCCCAAAUUCCCUAGAAAUCCAGCUAAGGCGUGGGGAAGAGGGGAAAGCGGUUUUGGAGGGGAGGGAGUUAUUUAUUUUUGUUUUGUUUGGGGAUUGUUUUGUUUUGUUGGGGUUUUUUUCUUUGCAUACAAAAAUAAGUGAAGAAGAUUUUGCAAGGUGCGGACGCGCCGUCGAGGCCGGAGGCACCGUGGGAGCAGCGAGGGCCGCAGGCAGGGAGCCCGGCACAGCCCCUGUUCUGGACAGAAGGACAGACGUCCGAGGGAAACGAGCAUAACUUCUCAGCUUGGCCACCUUCCAUGUGAUGGAGCAAUGUAGCCGACUUGUGGGUUGACUUAGGCUUGCAUCACCAUCCUGACCCGGGUUGCAUUGGCAGUCAUCUGGAACUGACUACAUGCCUGAACUGAUAAAAGAUGCUGUGGAAAUAUGGAUCUCUGGGGCCUUUGCAAGAUGCUUGUGCCAUAUCCUGUCUCUUUGUUGCUUGGUCCUCUGGAGGACAAAAGAGUGAGAAUCAGCAGUGUGUCACAUAUCCUGCAAACAGUUUGAGAACUGCUUUGACAGCCAGUGGAAGAAAAUAGUGUGAUGUGGUCACAGCAAGCACGUGUUCUUUCUAACAAUUUACAAUUGCACUAUGAUCCCAUUGAGAGUGAUACUCAAACCUCCCUCUGAUUACCUGUUCUUUUCUCUUGCUGUAACAACAUUGUUUCUUUCCAACACAGGAGUGUUUAUGCAGAAAUGCCAAGAUUCUUUAAACAGAUUACAGGAGGUUUACAAAUUAAGGAAAAACUAGUAUGGAACAAGAGGAAAAUAAUCCCAGCAUUUUGCACUUACUUGUAAUCAAAAUCCUGUCUUUGGAGGGUGUUAUGUCAAAUAUACACUUGGUGAGGCCUAUGAGGAUUUUUCCUGUGUAACGGCAAGAGUUAGCCCUAGCAUAUCACACUAUUCUAAAAAUGGUGUCCAGUAAGCAAUAGGUGGCCACUCUUGGAAAAAAAUCAGGAAAAAAUUGGUGAAACCUGGAUCCUCUACAAUGUCACUUUCACAGUUGAGUGACUGACAAACAAAAGCAAAGAAAAAGACCCAGUGGGCUAAGUCACCAUGAGGUUGGAUUCCCCCUGUUGUGGAAUUGAACAAAAUCCAGCAAUGUUUCCUUCUAUUAGGUCUGAUGUAAAUGCUGUAUGGUAAAGACUAAUUUCUAAAAGUCAGCUGUAAACCUACAGGUCAGCCAAUAAGACAGAGACUUGACACGUUUUUCAUUGUGAAGUGUAUGAUAGUUUCAAUCAACAUCACUGCAGACAGUAUAUUGUUGAAUCCAAUGGAAUUGGAAUCCUGCUAUGAAUUUAAUUGUUUUCCACAAGUAGAACAGAAGCCUUUGAUUUCUAUUAAUUAUGAAUCUAUGUGAAAAGCUAUUUUGUGUGUAUAUAUAUUUAACAACAGGAAAUGUAAAACAUAUUUAUUUUUAUUAAACUAAUAAAAGGGAUAAACCUA